rnacentral:rRNA from 1 species
GACGAACGCUGGCGGCGUGCUUAACACAUGCAAGUCGAACGGAAAGGCCCUGCUUUUGUGGGGUGCUCGAGUGGCGAACGGGUGAGUAACACGUGAGUAACCUGCCCUUGACUUUGGGAUAACUUCAGGAAACUGGGGCUAAUACCGGAUAGGAGCUCCUGCUGCAUGGUGGGGGUUGGAAAGUUUCGGCGGUUGGGGAUGGACUCGCGGCUUAUCAGCUUGUUGGUGGGGUAGUGGCUUACCCAGGCUUUGACGGGUAGCCGGCCUGAGAGGGUGACCGGCGACAUUGGGACUGAGAUACGGCGCAGACUCCUACGGGAGGCAGCAGUGGGGAAUAUGGCACAAUGGGCGGAAGCCUGAUGCAGCAACGCCGCGUGCGGGAUGACGGCCUUCGGGUUGUAAACCGCUUUCGCCUGUGACGAAGCGUGAGUGACGGUAAUGGGUAAAGAAGCACCGGCUAACUACGUG